CCACCCCCUUGAGGGAGCUGGCUCUCCAUGGUGCUUGGAGCACUCCUGUCUGUUGGUCAUUUUGUUUGUGUAGAUUUUCUGUAUGCAGUUGUUUUUAUCUCGUUGUAGUGAUGUUUUGGGUGGUCUUCCUGACCUUCCUUCUUUUAUGUGAAAACUACGCCCACACCCAUUUUUAUAUUUUUCUCUACUAUGAAACCCACGAGCGCAAAACUUCAUUCGCGCAUCCAUUUUUGAGAACGAAAUUUAUCUGGCACCCAUAUUAUUUAUAAUUAGUUUUCUCCUCUCGCUUCUUCCUCUUCCUUCAGUCUUUUUUUUUCCGGAUUUGUUUCUUCCUUCGUCUUUUAUCUUUUAAUCAAGAAAGAAGGCUUUUGUUCGAUCAACAUAAACCGAUUUCGAUCAGUCACUGAAUAACAUCGAUUUUCAUAUUUAUUUAUUUUUUGAAAUCCUUACUGUGAUUAAUAUCAUUUUUUUUAUGUAUAUUCUUUUUGGAUCUGAUUGAUGUGGAUCGACAAGGAAACUAGAUUCUGGUUCGCUCGGUGAUUGAUAACUAGGUUUUCCCUACCUGGAAUUUUGAGGAUUUUGUUCCUGAUGCGUUAGAUGUUUCUAUAUAUGUAGAUGAUUGUCCUAGGGAAUUCUUGAUAUGGAUCUACUGUGUAUUAGCGACUUCAACCAGGAUGUGGGUUUUGUGCUGGUAUUGAUACCAAUUUCAGGCGUGCACCUGUUGCCUACUUGGCUGUAGAACCUAUUGGGACAUCACCAUCCUAUUUUCCUGAACAGGGUUCCAUCACAAGACAAUGCGAACUAAAGGAAUUCGGGAGAUUACCAGUAAAGGUGUUGUAAGAAAUGUCUAAAGCUUUGAGUGAUUUGAGUGAACUUCGUUAAGGAAGAAGAUUACCAGAGAAUGAAUUGUGUGUAAGAACUAGGGAUUCAAGAUUAACGAAAGAAGAAAUGGAAGAAGGAAUUGGCCCGUAAAAUUAAUUUUCAGCAAGACGAAUGUGUGUGAGUUGAGUAAGUGAUGAAAUGAGAGGAGAAAGAGUUCCUGAAUAACAAACAUGGUCAAGAACGAUUGAAGUGAUACGAGUUAAAUCGGAGCUACAAGUGAUUUCACAAAUGAAAUGUGUUCCGCGACACAGUGCAAUUGUUGUCCUAUAGGGGGUAAGGUGUAAAUUAUUGUUCAGAAUGGGUAUUCCAUUAUGUUUCAGUGGUGUGUACAGUUAGGAGUUUCCUUGGUGUUCUGUUUUCAUAGUAAAAUUAAUCAAAAUGCCCGAAAACAGAUUUUAUCAUCAUCAAACAUAUUUAUUAAGCUACCACUUUCUGGAUUUUGUGA